rnacentral:rRNA from 1 species
GACGAACGCUGGCGGCGUGCUUAACACAUGCAAGUCGAACGGAAAGGCCCUGCUUUUGUGGGGUGCUCGAGUGGCGAACGGGUGAGUAACACGUGAGUAACCUGCCCUUGACUUUGGGAUAACUUCAGGAAACUGGGGCUAAUACCGGAUAGGAGCUCCUGCUGCAUGGUGGGGGUUGGAAAGUUUCGGCGGUUGGGGAUGGACUCGCGGCUUAUCAGCUUGUUGGUGGGGUAGUGGCUUACCAAGGCUUUGACGGGUAGCCGGCCUGAGAGGGUGACCGGCCACAUUGGGACUGAGAUACGGCCGAGACGCCUACGGGAGGCAGCAGGGGGGAAUAUUGCACAAUGGGCGGAAGCCUGAUGCAGCAACGCCGCGUGCGGGAUGACGGCCUUCGGGUUGUAAACCGCUUGCGCCUGGGACGAAGCGUGAGUGAAGGUAAUGGGUAAAGAAGCACCGGCUAACUACGUG